rnacentral:rRNA from 1 species
UACGUAGGGGGCAAGCGUUGUCCGGAUUUAUUGGGUCGUAAAGCGCUCGCAGGUGGUCCGUCGCGUCGUGCGGUGAAACGCCCCCGGCUCAACUGGGGAGUGUCGUGCGAUACGGGCGGACUGGAGGCCAGUAGGGGGAUGCGGAAUUCCGGGUGUAGUGGUGGAAUGCGUAGAGAUCCGGAGGAACACCAGCGGCGAAGGCGGCAUCCUGGACUGGUCCUGACACUCAUGAGCGAAAGCG